GGUAUGGUGUGGCUCAGGGGUAAAGCACCUGCUUUGCACACAGGAGGUCCCAGGUUCAAUCCCUGGCACUUCCA